rnacentral:rRNA from 1 species
CGGGUGGCUGCAGCAGUGGGGAAUAUUGGACAAUGGGGGAAACCCUGAUCCAGCAAUGCCGCGUGUGUGAAGAAGGCCUGCGGGUUGUAAAGCACUUUCGGUUGGGAGGACUGCUUCUAGCACUAAUAUUGUUGGAAGUUGACGUUACCUUCAGAAGAAGCACCGGCUAACUCCGUGCCAGCAGCCGCGGUAAUGACGGAGGGUGCAAGCGUUAAUCGGAAUUACUGGGCGUAAAGCGCGCGUAGGCGGCUAGAUCAGUCGGGUGUGAAAGCCCCGGGCUUAACCUGGGAACUGCAUCCGAUACUGUCUAGCUUGAGUACAGGAGAGGAGAGUGGAAUUCCAUAUGUAGCGGUGAAAUGCGUAGAUAUGUGGAGGAACACCAAUGGCGAAGGCAGCUCUCUGGCCUGAUACUGACGCUGAGGUGCGAAAGCGUGGGGAGCAAACAGGAUUAGAUACCCUAGUAGUC